ensembl:rRNA 5S_rRNA 5S ribosomal RNA
AUCUGUGAUCAUACUGCCCUGAACAUAUCUGAACUUGGAUAAUCAAAGAAGCUAAGCAGGGCUGGGCUGGUUAGUGCUUGGAUGGGAGAUAAGCUCUCCUUACCCUGGAAUAGGUAGAAUCAGGCC